rnacentral:lncRNA from 1 species
GUGAACACCCGUCCGGUUAGCCUGCCUGUCACCACCCUUCCCUUCCUUCCCCACUAGCCCUGCCUGUCACCACCUUCCCUUCCCUCCCACUAGCCCUGCCUGUGACCACUUUCCCUCCCCUACCCACUAGCCUAGCCCUGCCUGUGUGACCACUUUCCCUCCCCUCCCACUAGCCUAGCUCUGCCUGUGUCCACUUUUCCCUUCCCUCUCAAUAGCCUAGCUCUGCCUGUGACCACUUUCCCUUCCCUCCCAAUGGCCUAGCUCUGCCUGUGGACACUUCUCCCACUAGCCUAGCCCUUGCUGUGACCACUUCCCUCCCCUCCCACUAGCCUAGCCUGCCUGUGACCACCUUUCCCUCCCCUCCACUAGCCUUCGCCCUGCCUUGCCCAUUUCCCUCCUACUAGCCUCGGCACUUGCCUUGUGACCCACUUCCCCUCCCACUAGCCCUGCUGUCACCACCCUUCCAUUCCCUCCCACUAGCCCUGCCCUGUGACCACUUUCCCUCCCCUCCCACUAGCCUAGCCCUGCCUGUGACCACUUUUCCUCCCUCCCACAUAGCCUUGCCUGUGACCACUUUCCCUCCCACUCGCCCUGCCUGUGACCACUUUCCCUCCCGUCCCACAGCCUCGCAUGUGGGCCCACUUAUCCUCCACUAGCCCUGCCUGUGACCCAUUUUCCCUUUCUUCCUUAG